GCUACGGACUUGAAUUUUGAGCCUUAUUAGAGAAAUCUACUAAGUGAUUGUUUUCACAUUCAGGGAAACCUAAGGUUUGAAAUAUGAGGUAAUCCUGAGCCAAAUUUUAAUUAUGAAAUAGGUGCAGAGACUCGAAGGAAACUAUCCUAACGAAAAAUUUUUUCAAUAAAUAAUAAUAGACGAGGAUAAAGAUAGAGUCCUUUUUUACAAUCUAUAUAGUUUUUACUUAUAAAUAAUUGUAAAAAGAAAAUCCGUUGGCUUUAAUAGACCUUGAGGGUUCAAGUCCCUCUACCCCCA
rnacentral:ncRNA from 1 species